GACGAACGCUGGCGGCGUGCUUAACACAUGCAAGUCGAACGGGAGUAUUGAAGAAGCUUGCUUUAGAGAUACUUUAGUCGCGGACGGGUGAGUAACGCGUGAGCAACCUGCCCUUCAGAGGGGGACAACAGUUGGAAACGACUGCUAAUACCGCAUGAAAUGUAUUUAAGGAAUCUUGAAUACAUCAAAGAUUUAUCGCUGAAGGAUGGGCUCGCGUCUGAUUAGCUAGUUGGUGAGGUAACGGCUCACGAAGGCGACGAUAAGUAGCCAGAAUGUGAGGUUGAACGGCCACAUUGGGACUGAGAUACGGCCCAGACUCCUACGGGAGGCAGCAGUGGGGAAUAUUGGGCAAUGGGGGCAACCCUGACCCAGCAACGCCGCGUGAAGGAAGAAGGCUUUCGGGUUGUAAACUUCUUUGACGAGGGACGAAACAAAUGACGGUACCUUGAAAACAAGCCACGGCUAACUACGUGCCAGCCGCCGCCGUAA
rnacentral:rRNA from 1 species